GCCGGGCCUGGUGGCGCACGCCUGUAAUCCCAGCUUCUCGGGAGGCUGAGGCAGGAGAAUCGCUUGAACCCAGGAAGGGGAGGUUGCAGUGAGCCAAGAUCACACCACUGCGCUCCAGCCUGGGUGACAGAGUGAGACUCUGUCUCAA
ensembl:misc_RNA Metazoa_SRP Metazoan signal recognition particle RNA